CGGCAUGCUUAACACAUGCAAGUCGUACGAGAAAGUUGGCUUCGGCCGAUGAGUAAAGUGGCGCACGGGUGAGUAAUGCGUGGAUAAUCUGCCCUUUAGUUGGGAAUAACGUACCGAAAGGUGCGCUAAUACCUGAUAAUACUGCAUAACUACUGUUGUGUAGUCAAAGAAGGCCUCUGUUUACAAGCUUUUGCUGAAGGAUGAGUCCGCGUACCAUUAGCUGGUUGGUGGGGUAAUGGCCUACCAAGGCUACGAUGGUUAGCUGGUCUGAGAGGAUGAUCAGCCACACUGGAACUGAGACACGGUCCAGACUCCUACGGGAGGCAGCAGUGAGGAAUAUUGCGCAAUGGGGGCAACCCUGACGCAGCAACGCCGCGUGAGUGAGGAAGGUUUUCGGACCGUAAAGCUCUGUCGAGCGGGAAGAAGUGUACCAUGGCUAAUAUCCAUGAUAUUUGACGGUACCGCUAGAGGAAGCACCGGCUAACUCCGUG
rnacentral:rRNA from 1 species